ACCACAGUAAGUUUCAUACCUGCUACUUCACUUGUUUGACCUUAUUUGUAUGCUCAAGUUCACUCAGUAGGGAAUCGACGAGGCCGCUGGUUACAAAGUUAACGUUAACAAUAACAGUAAAUUGAUGAGUUCACCACCAAAAAAUAUAUACUGUUAGCACAGAAGACCAGAGAACGUUUAUAUAAUGAAUAAUACCUUUUAUAGAACGUUUAAAUACCUCAAGAAUUCAUCAUCGUCG